rnacentral:rRNA from 1 species
GAUGAACGCUGGCGGCGUGCUUAACACAUGCAAGUCGAACGAUGAAGCCCAGCUUGCUGGGUGGAUUAGUGGCGAACGGGUGAGUAACACGUGAGUAACCUGCCCUUAACUCUGGGAUAAGCCUGGGAAACUGGGUCUAAUACCGGAUAGGAGCGUCCACCGCAUGGUGGGUGUUGGAAAGAUUUAUCGGUUUUGGAUGGACUCGCGGCCUAUCAGCUUGUUGGUGAGGUAAUGGCUCACCAAGGCGACGACGGGUAGCCGGCCUGAGAGGGUGACCGGCCACACUGGGACUGAGACACGGCCAAGACUCCUACGGGAGGAAGCAGUGGUGAAUAUUGCACAAUGGGCGCAAGCCUGAUGCAGCGACGCCGCGUGAGGGAUGACGGCCUUCGGGUUGUAAACCUCUUUCAGUAGGGAAGAAGCGAAAGUGACGGUACCUGCAGAAGAAGCACCGGCUAACUACGUG